GCUAAGAUAGUUUAUUUAGAAUUUGUAACUUGUAAUUACAGGGUUUUAUUAGCA
rnacentral:tRNA from 1 species